ACAACUCUAGAGAUAGAGUCUUCCCCUUCGGGGGACAAAGUGACAGGUGGUGCAUGGUUGUCGUCAGCUCGUGUCGUGAGAUGUUGGGUUAAGUCCCGCAACGAGCGCAACCCUUAAGCUUAGUUGCCAGCAUUAAGUUGGGCACUCUAAGUUGACUGCCGGUGACAAACCGGAGGAAGGUGGGGAUGACGUCAAAUCAUCAUGCCCCUUAUGAUUUGGGCUACACACGUGCUACAAUGGACAAUACAAAGGGCAGCUAAACCGCGAGGUCAUGCAAAUCCCAUAAAGUUGUUCUCAGUUCGGAUUGUAGUCUGCAACUCGACUACAUGAAGCUGGAAUCGCUAGUAAUCGUAGAUCAGCAUGCUACGGUGAAUACGUUCCCGGGUCUUGUACACACCGCCCGUCACACCACGAGAGUCUGUAACACCCGAAGCCGGUGGAGUAACCAUUUAUGGAGCUAGCCGUCGAAGGUGGGACAAAUGAUUGGGGUGAAGUCGUAACAAGGUAGCCGUAUCGGA
rnacentral:rRNA from 1 species